rnacentral:rRNA from 1 species
UGGGGAAUUUUGGACAAUGGGGGAAACCCUGAUCCAGCCAUCCCGCGUGUGCGAUGAAGGCCUUCGGGUUGUAAAGCACUUUUGGCAGGAAAGAAACGUCAUGGGUUAAUACCCCGUGAAACUGACGGUACCUGCAGAAUAAGCACCGGCUAACUACGUGCCAGCAGCCGCGGUAAUACGUAGGGUGCAAGCGUUAAUCGGAAUUACUGGGCGUAAAGCGUGCGCAGGCGGUUCGGAAAGAAAGACGUGAAAUCCCAGAGCUCAACUUUGGAACUGCAUUUUUAACUACCGGGCUAGAGUGUGUCAGAGGGAGGUGGAAUUCCGCGUGUAGCAGUGAAAUGCGUAGAUAUGCGGAGGAACACCGAUGGCGAAGGCAGCCUCCUGGGAUAACACUGACGCUCAUGCACGAAAGCGUGGGGAGCAAACAGG